ACUCUACUAGUGCAGUGGGUAGCACUGUUGCCUCACAGCAAGAAGGUCGUGGGUUCAAAUCUCAGCGUGGGGCC
rnacentral:tRNA from 1 species